UUAGCAGGUCUCCUUAUCGCUGUUCACCUUGUGUGAAGAGAGGAAAGUCCGGACACCAUAGUGCAGUAUAGCGGGUAACACCCGUCUCCCAUUUAUUGGGACGGACAAGUGCAACAGAAAGUAUGUACAGGUAAUGCUGUAGUGAAACCAGGUAAACUCUAUACGGUGAAACGUCACGUAAAUCAGUGUUUGAGGGCUGCACGCCCGAGCUGAAGGGUAGGCGGUUAGAGCUAUUGGGUAACUAAUAGUCUAGAUAAAUGAUAAGGUUUUGUUUUUUAACAAAGACAGAAUCCGGCUUAUGGCCUGCUUUUUUA
rnacentral:RNase_P_RNA from 1 species